AAUUUCUAAAGUAUUAAUUAUUUGAUAUAGAAUCUUGGAUAAUUUACAUAAAUGUACGAUCAUAAAUUCGAUAACGUUUUCGUAUAUUAUUUAAACCCGAAUUCUGAUAAUCAGGAAGUAAUGUGGAGCAUAUUCUGCGAAGUGAGACGAACAGUUUGUUUUCGUUGUAAUGAUUUCUUGUUUUACUUUCUGAAAAUUUGUCAAACUAAUAUUUUUAUAAAUUUAGAUACGUGCGUUAAGACCAGAAAUAAAAAUUAUUCAAAUAUUUAGCAGAAAUUUAAUAAACUACACAGUAUUUUGUUUUACAUGCUUCCUGUUCAAUUAGUUUCCUUUUCA
rnacentral:lncRNA from 1 species